rnacentral:rRNA from 1 species
UACGAAGGGGGCUAGCGUUGCUCGGAAUCACUGGGCGUAAAGGGUGCGUAGGCGGGUCUUUUAAGUCAGGGGUGAAAUCCUGGAGCUCAACUCCAGAACUGCCUUUGAUACUGAAGAUCUUGAGUUUCGGGAGAGGUGAGUGGAACUGCGAGUGUAGAGGUGAAAUUCGUAGAUAUUCGCAAGAACACCAGUGGCGAAGGCGGCUCACUG